AUGGACUAUACGAUGAGAAUUCAAUUUUUUUUGUGGAUCAGCUACGAAGACAUUGUCCCUGCUACAGACGGUUUCUCUAACUCCAUUGUGCUUGGAAGAGGGGGCUUUGGCAUAGUAUACAAGGGAAAACUGGAAGGUGGCAAGGAAGUUGCUGUUAAAAGGCUAACCAAGUGCUCUGAUCAAGGAAUGGAGCAUUUUAGAAAUGAAGUAGUUCUUAUUGCAAAACUGCAGCACAGAAACUUAGUUAGACUUCUUGGUUACUGCGUCCAUGGAGCUGAGAAGCUUCUUAUUUACGAAUACUUACCCAACAAAAGCUUGGACUACUUCCUAUUUGAUGAUGCUAAAAGAUCUAUGCUUGAUUGGCCAGCAAGGUUUAGUAUAAUCAAAGGGGUAGCUAAAGGACUUGUGUACCUACACCACGAUUCUAGAAUGACGAUAAUUCACAGAGAUCUCAAAGCAAGCAACAUCCUGUUGGAUGCGGAGUUGAGACCCAACAUAUCAGAUUUUGGCAUAGCAAGGAUCUUUGGUGACAACCAGCAACAAGCAAAUACUAGGCAUGUUGUCGGGACAUACGGUUACAUGUCGCCCGAAUAUGCGAUGGAAGGCAUUUUUUCGGUCAAGUCCGACACAUAUAGCUAUGGGAUCUUGCUACUGGAGAUUGUAAGUGGGUUAAAGAUUAGCUCACCUCAACAUCUUAUAAGGGAAUUCCCAAACCUUAUAGAUUAUGCAUGGAACUUACUGAAAGAAGGAAACUCAAGGGAUUUCCUAGAAACUGUGCUGCUGAACAGCUGCUCGCUGCAUCAAGAGUCGUUGUGCAUCCAUAUCGCAUUAUCGUGCGUUCAGGGCAGCCCGAGUGCCAGGCCACUCAUGUCGCUUUGGUCUCUAUGCUGGAAAACGAGGCCAUGCCACUCACGAUACCAAGGCAGCCUUCGUAUUUCGUUGGAAGGAGACGUGAAGCUGAAGAAGCGAGGGAGGACUCUGUUAACAGCAUGA
rnacentral:rRNA from 1 species